UUGUCUUCAGAUUUGAGUUCGCUGUCUUCAGAGGAGGAAAUGGGGGAGGAGUCAGCGCCGACAAUUGUCCCUUCGACCAAGCUUGUGGAAAAUGGAAACGAAGCCUGUCGACGGGCCCUUUUGGAAGAGGCACUUCUUGGCAGCAGUGGUGACAGCGAAGAGGACGACGGCGAGGGGGAACCAAAGAAGCAGAAGGCGGUGCCAAAGGAAAAAGAGGACGUCGUUCCUGACUGCGAGGAAGAGCAGGCUGCUCCUGAGAAAGAGGAGGACAGGCAGGAGGCCGUUCCCGACAGCGAUGAAGAGGACAGCGACGAAAUCGGGGUCGCCACGAAGAAGGGAAAGAAGCUCCUCAAGUAUGAGAAGCUUCUGCAGAAGCCAGUUCCCGGCGGCAAGGACGACAGCUCGGAGGAGGAGGAGCCACUAGAGAGCCGAAAAAGGAAAUCCAAAAGCAAGCGGGUAGUGGUGUCGAGCGAUGACGAACACAAGUACGCCGACUCCAAGAAACCCGAGCUCACCAUCAGCAGCAGCCUCGGCUCGAGCAGCUCGAGCGAAUCGGAUAACUUGGACAUCAAGCCGGCUCGCAAGAAAAAAAAGAAGCGGGCGUCCUCUUCGAUAGGAUCGAGCGGACAGUCCGACGACUCAGACUUCAACUCGUCCAAGAAGGGCAAGCGCGGCCCCAGGGACCGGUCUGCGUCGCCCGGCAAGGCGAUCAAGAAGAAGCGCCGUCGCAUCAAGAUGGCCGCCUCCACGGACGACGACAAGGAGAACAGCGACGACAGCAAUUCGAGCCAGGAGACGGGCAGCAAGAGCCGCAAGAACCUCCGAAAGCUCCGGCCAGUCGGCGACGAGACGAGGGCGGCAGCCAAGGCGGAGGAGGAACGCAAGAAAAGGGUCCAAGAGCGCCAGAAGCUGCAGUACAACAAGAUCCGAGGGGGCGCUUCAGAGUGUGGCAACACGACCCUGGAGGAACUGGUGCUAGAGAUGGACCUCAAGGCCAACAAGCCGCUGGUGACGGUGAAUCGGAAGUUGGUCAAAUGCAUGAAGCCGCACCAGGUCGACGGUGUCAAGUUCCUGUACGAGUGCACCAUCGAAUCCCUCGAGAUGCUGAAGAAGGACCCCAACAAUGGUUCUGGCUGCAUCCUUGCCCACUGCAUGGGGCUGGGAAAGACCUUCCAGGUGAUCUCGUUCCUGCACACGGUAUUGAACCACAAGGAUUGCGGCAAGAUCCUACGGACUGCCCUCGUCGUGUGCCCAUACAACACUGUCCUCAACUGGUCGCAGGAGUUUGAACGCUGGCUCAAAGACAAGAGACUCGACCUCACCGUGCACGAGGUGUCGUCUAUCAAGGACAACCACUCGCGGGUGAAGACCCUGGAGUACUGGCAGAAGAAGGGCGGAGUCAUGAUCAUUGGCUACGACAUGUUCCGUCGACUGACCAACGAAAAGGCCAUGGGGGUCAGCAAGAAGAUGAAGGAGCGACUGAGGAAGGCGCUGCUCGAUCCAGGGCCGGACAUCGUGGUGUGCGACGAAGGGCACAUUCUGAAGAGCGACAAGACGAGCCUGUCGAUCGCCAUGAACUCGCUCAGGACAUGCCGGCGGAUAGUCCUCAGCGGAACUCCCCUCCAGAACAACCUGCAAGAGUACCACUGCAUGGUGCAGUUCGUGAAGCCCAACCUGCUGGGAACCAAGAAGGAGUUCACCAACCGCUUUGUGAACCCGAUCGCCAACGGCCAGUGUGCCGACUCGACGGCCCUGGACGUAAGGCUGAUGAAGAGGCGGGUGCACGUCUUGCAUCGCCUGCUGAAUGGUUGCGUCCAGCGCUGCGACUACAACGCCUUGAAGCCCUUCCUGCCACCCAAGUGCGAGUACGUGAUCAGCGUGCGGCUGUCGGAGGUGCAAGUGCAGCUGUACCGCCACUUCCUGGACCACCUGGCCAGAGGGGGCCGCAACAGCAAGCCCAACCAGGGCAUGUCCCUGUUCUGGGACUUCAACGUGCUGCGCAACAUUUGGACCGACCCCGCGCUGCUCGUCAUGAGCGCCGAGCGCGCCAGGGCCAAGGAGCUCCUCGAGGAUGAAUCGAGCGAUUGGAUGUCCCCUUUCAUCGACGACGGAUCGGAGAGUUCGUGCAUUGAUGACGGUGCGGAGAGUUCGAGCAUUGACGACGGUUCGGAGAGUUCGAGCAGCCAAAGCGACAGCAACGAAGAAGCCGUUUACCUCGACCAAGACAAGCCCUCCACCAGCAAAGGGAAGGACAGCGGGCACCAGACUGGAGACGAGGUGGUCAAAACCUGGAAAACGAGGAUCCCAGCGGCUCUCGGCGAAUCUAGCGGGGAAGAAACGACUCCUUCGCCUCAGUCGGAGGAAUGGUGGCACCACUGCGUCUCGGAGGAGGACAUGUACGAGGUCAGCGGCAAGAUGAUCCUGCUCCACAACAUCUUGCACGAGUGCGGCGCCAUCGGGGACAAACUCCUGCUGUUCAGCCAGAGCCUACUGACGCUCGACCUGGUGGAGAAGCUACUGGAGCGGUGCAACGAGCUCGCCUCCGCAGUGCAGCCCGACGCCACGGCGGUGGAUCCAAGCGAUCCGUUGCGGGACUGCCACAGCACGUGGAUCUCCGGCGUCGACUACUUCCGCAUGGACGGCUCAACGCCCGUGGACCAGCGCAAGCGCUGGAUCGAGAUGUUCAACAACGAGUCGAACCCGCGGGGCCGGCUGUUCCUCAUCUCGACCAGGGCAGGAUCGCUGGGCACGAACCUGGUGGGGGCGAACCGGGUGGUGCUCAUGGACACCUCGUGGAACCCCACGCACGACGUGCAGGCCAUCUUCCGCGUCUACCGCUUCGGGCAAAAGAAGAAGGUCUUCAUCUACCGCCUCCUCGCCCAGUGUUGGGUCCGAGGGGGUUCUCCAGGCAGCCUCCAUCAGGGCCAGGCCAAGACAGGAACAGCAGGCCAACUCCCGGCAAGAACAUCACGAGACGGGAGGGUCUCUCACGACACACUUUGUUUAAUACAUAUAUACAAAGUAACUGCAUCGUCCGAGAGCACACAUGCGCCCUCUUGUUUACUCCUUUUAUAGGGUCGCUGUCGGUGCCCCACCGGUUGGCAGCCAAUGGUGGCCGAACUGCCAACAAAUGUCCUGUUCAGGCCCCGCCCCCACUCAUCCCCCGAGCACACACACGCACACACUGUAGUGGCGGCCGGACAUCACAAUCCGGCGCCGAGAUACUCGCCUUCGAAUGCCGCGCCGAGGAGGCGACAACAAAGGGUCCACUGUCAGCCCGGGAGACGACGUUGGCCGAGAUAGUGCUGAUCCCUCCAUUAGGCGGCGUUGUGGCACGAGAAAGGCUUUGGCCGGAACAUCCGCAAGUGGCGUCCGAAGGUAAUCCCUGCCGAACACAUCCUCACGGAGGUCCCGCAGCUGGCGCGCCGUCACCCGGAAUCCUCGCACGGGGACGAUGGAGGAGAAGGUCUACGAUCGGCAGGUGGCAAAGCAGUCCCUGGCGCGCCGGGUGUUGGACGAGCAGCAGAUCGAGCGCCACUUCAAUGCGGCCGAUCUCAUGGAACUGUACAGCUUCAAU